rnacentral:rRNA from 1 species
CGUUCUGUAAGCCUGCGAAGGUGUGCUGUGAGGCAUGCUGGAGGUAUCAGAAGUGCGAAUGCUGACAUAAGUAACGAUAAAGCGGGUGAAAAGCCCGCUCGCCGGAAGACCAAGGGUUCCUGUCCAACGUUAAUCGGGGCAGGGUGAGUCGACCCCUAAGGCGAGGCCGAAAGGCGUAGUCGAUGGGAAACAGGUUAAUAUUCCUGUACUUGGUGUUACUGCGAAGGGGGGACGGAGAAGGCUAUGUUGGCCGGGCGACGGUUGUCCCGGUUUAAGCGUGUAGGCUGGUUUUCCAGGCAAAUCCGGAAAAUCAAGGCUGAGGCGUGAUGACGAGGCACUACGGUGCUGAAGCAACAAAUGCCCUGCUUCCAGGAAAAGCCUCUAAGCAUCAGGUAACAUCAAAUCGUACCCCAAACCGACACAGGUGGUCAGGUAGAGAAUACCAAGGCGCUUGAGAGAACUCG